UGGGGAAUUUUGGACAAUGGGCGCAAGCCUGAUCCAGCCAUGCCGCGUGCAGGAUGAAGGCCUUCGGGUUGUAAACUGCUUUUGUACGGAACGAAAAGACUCCUUCUAAUAAAGGGGGUCCAUGACGGUACCGUAAGAAUAAGCACCGGCUAACUACGUGCCAGCAGCCGCGGUAAUACGUAGGGUGCAAGCGUUAAUCGGAAUUACUGGGCGUAAAGCGUGCGCAGGCGGUGAUGUAAGACAGGUGUGAAAUCCCCGGGCUUAACCUGGGACCUGCAUUUGUGACUGUAUAGCUAGAGGACGGUAGAGGGGGAUGGAAUUCCGCGUGUAGCAGUGAAAUGCGUAGAUAUGCGGAGGAACACCGAUGGCGAAGGCAAUCCCCUGGACCUGUACUGACGCUCAUGCACGAAAGCGUGGGGAGCAAACA
rnacentral:rRNA from 1 species